GACGAACGCUGGCGGCGUGCUUAACACAUGCAAGUCGAACGGAAAGGCCCUGCUUUUGUGGGGUGCUCGAGUGGCGAACGGGUGAGUAACACGUGAGUAACCUGCCCUUGACUUUGGGAUAACUUCAGGAAACUGGGGCUAAUACCGGAUAGGAGCUCCUUCUGCAUGGUGGGGGUUGGAAAGUUUCGGCGGUUGGGGAUGGACUCGCGGCUUAUCAGCUUGUUGGUGGGGUAGUGGCUUACCAAGGCUUUGACGGGUAGCCGGCCUGCGAGGGUGACCGGCCACAUUGGGACUGAGAUACGGCCCAGACUCCUACGGGAGGCAGCAGUGGGGAAUAUUGCACAAUGGGCGGAAGCCUGAUGCAGCAACGCCGCGUGCGGGAUGACGGCCUUCGGGUUGUAAACCGCUUUCGCCUGUGACGAAGCGUGAGUGACGGUAAUGGGUAAAGAAGCACCGGCUAACUACGUG
rnacentral:rRNA from 1 species